UUACUGUGGUUACCACAUUGUAAAAAUGAUGUACAUGUAAUUGCAGUGGAAGGCAAGCCUAUGGCCAGAGUCACGCCAAGAGUCAAAAUCACAGCAAUGUCAAGAUGGGAGAGUGAACAGUGAACAGCUGGAUACAUCUGCACUAUCCUUGCUAGCCCGGGUCUCAGAACAAGAGGCUAUUUCCAUGCUUUACAACUGCAACCUGAAGAGCAUACCAAGAAAUGAAUGGAUUAUAGUUGUCUAUAGAUAAGUAACUAUUUCUGACAGGCAUAUAAUGUAGGUGAAUAAGAACAUGGAGUACAUAGCUUUGCAGAUAAUUUAAAAAUAACAGAGAUAGUUCAGCUUCUCAGCUUAAUUUCUGUUGAAUGGAUAUAGGAGAUGUUGAAUAUUUCAUGGAUUUUCUUACAUCAGUUACAAGCGAGUAAACCAGAGAAAAUCUACUG